GACAGAGGGUGCAAACGUUGUUCGGAAUUACUGGGCGUAAAGCGUGUGUAGGCGGCCGUGCAAGUCGGAUGUGAAAUCCCCGGGCUCAACCCGGGAAGUGCACCCGAAACUGCAGGGCUCGAGUACCGGAGAGGUUGGUGGAAUUCUCGGUGUAGAGGUGAAAUUCGUAGAUAUCGAGAGGAACACCGGUGGCGAAGGCGGCCAACUGGACGAGUACUGACGCUGAGACACGAAAGCGUGGGGAGCAAACAGGA
rnacentral:rRNA from 1 species